rnacentral:lncRNA from 1 species
UUGUCUUCACACACAUGCUGGGCAUACUCUGGGUGACAUUCAUAAGAAUAUAGGCACAAGAUUGACAAGAACAUGGGCAAGCAUGGAUAGAUUGUGAUUAGCAUCAUUAAAAUUAUCUGAUAAAAUACCCUGAAGGAAUGUCAUUCAAAAGAACAGAAAAGAAAAUGUUGCACAGAAAACAUUCCAGAGUUUUUGCUUAGUUCCAAUGUCAACAUCGGAACAAGAAGAACGGGCAUCCCCUACUUAAAUGAGAAGAGCCAACAUGAAGGGCUUGGAACUCACGACAGGAAAUCAGUUCUAAAGUGUUGAGAUAAACACACCAAUUUUCUUCCUUCCACAUGCUAUUUCCACAUAAACUUUAACUUCGAGUUAGACCUGUUUGACGGGAGAAGAAAAAGGAUGAAAUUACAAACAGUGGUGGCAGAUUAUCAACAUCAGCGGCAAUCCAAAAAACACUUGAGACGCAAAACAUUUUCUUUGGAUAUCUGACAUUUUUUAGUCAUCAUAAUCUUCUGAGUUUGUGCAAGGAAUAAUAAAUUCCCU